GAAAUGCGAUAAGUAGUGUGAAUUGCAGAAUUCAGUGAAUCAUCGAAUCUUUGAACGCACAUUGCGCCCCUUGGUAUUCCAUGGGGCAUGCCUGUUCGAGCGUCAUUUGUACCCUCAAGCUCUGCUUGGUGUUGGGUGUUUGUCCCCGUCUCCGCGCGUGGACUCGCCCCAAAGUGAUUGGCAGCCGGCGUACUGGUCCCGGAGCGCAGCACAUGUCGCGCAAACGAGUGCCUUGGUACGGCGGCGUCCAUAAGCCCCUCUCUCACGCUCUUGACCUCGGAUCAGGUAGGGAUACCCGCUGAACUUAAG
rnacentral:misc_RNA from 1 species